rnacentral:rRNA from 1 species
GGAUUUAUUGGGCGUAAAGGGAGCGCAGGCGGUUAGUAAGUCUGAAGUUAAAGGCAUUGGCUCAACCAAUGUAUGCUUUGGAAACUGUUAGACUNGAGUGCAGAAGGGGAGAGUGGAAUUCCAUGUGUAGCGGUGAAAUGCGUAGAUAUAUGGAGGAACACCGGUGGCGAAAGCGGCUCUCUGGUCUGUCACUGACGCUGAGGCUCGAAAGCGUGGGUAGCGAACAGGAUUAGAUACCCUGGUAGUCCACGCCGUAAACGCUGAGUGCUAGGUGUUAGGUCCUUUCCGGGACUUAGUGCCGACGCUAACGCAUUAAGCACUCCGCCUGGGGAGUACGACCGCAAGGUUGAAACUCAAAGGAAUUGACGGGGGCCCGCACAAGCGGUGGAGCAUGUGGUUUAAUUCGAAGCAACGCGAAGAACCUUACCAGGUCUUGACAUCCCGAUGCCCGCUCUAGAGAUAGAGUUUUUCUUCGGAACAUCGGAGACAGGUGGUGCAUGGUUGUCGUCAGCUCGUGUCGUGAGAUGUUGGGUUAAGUCCCGCAACGAGCGCAACCCUUAUUGUUAGUUGCCAUCAUUAAGUUGGGCACUCUAGCGAGACUGCCGGUAAUAAACCGGAGGAAGGUGGGGAUGACGUCAAAUCAUCAUGCCCCUUAUGACCUGGGCUACACACGUGCUACAAUGGUUGGUACAACGAGUCGCAAGCCGGUGACGGCAAGCUAAUCUCUGAAAGCCAAUCUCAGUUCGGAUUGUAGGCUGCAACUCGCCUACAUGAAGUCGGAAUCGCUAGUAAUCGCGGAUCAGCACGCCGCGGUGAAUACGUUCCCGGGCCUUGUACACACCGCCCGUCACACCACGAGAGUUUGUAACACCCAAAGU